rnacentral:rRNA from 1 species
ACNNNNGNNAGUCGAGCGGCAGCGACUUAACUGAACCUUCGGGGAACGUUAAGGGCGGCGAGCGGCGGACGGGUGAGUAAUGCCUGGGAAUAUGCCCUGAUGUGGGGGAUAACUAUUGGAAACGAUAGCUAAUACCGCAUAAUCUCUUCGGAGCAAAGAGGGGGACCUUCGGGCCUCUCGCGUCAGGAUUAGCCCAGGUGGGAUUAGCUUGUUGGUGAGGUAAUGGCUCACCAAGGCAACGAUCCCUNNCCGNNUUGAGAGGAUGAUCAGCCACACUGGAACUGAGACACGGUUUUUUUCUCCUACGGGACCCCCCCCCUGGGGAAUAUUGCACAAUGGGGGAAACCCUGANGCAGCCAUGCCGCGUGUGUG